AUUGAACGCUGGCGGCAGGCCUAACACAUGCAAGUCGAACGGUAACAGGAAGCAGCUUGCUGCUUCGCUGACGAGUGGCGGACGGGUGAGUAAUGUCUGGGAAGCUGCCUGAUGGAGGGGGAUAACUACUGGAAACGGUAGCUAAUACCGCAUAAUGUCGCAUGACCAAAGAGGGGGACCUUCGGGCCUCUUGCCAUCGGAUGUGCCCAGAUGGGAUUAGCUUGUUGGUGGGGUAACGGCUCACCAAGGCGACGAUCCCUAGCUGGUCUGAGAGGAUGACCAGCCACACUGGAACUGAGACACGGUCCAGACUCCUACGGGAGGCAGCAGUGGGGAAUAUUGCACAAUGGGCGCAAGCCUGAUGCAGCCAUGCCGCGUGGAUGAAGAAGGCCUUCGGGUUGUAAAGUACUUUCAGCGGGGAGGAAGGGAGUAAAGUUAAUACCUUUGCUCAUUGACGUUACCCGCAGAAGAAGCACCGGCUAACUCCGUG
rnacentral:rRNA from 1 species